rnacentral:lncRNA from 10 species
UUUCACUACUUGAACUCCUGACCUCAUAUGAUCCACCCACCUCGUCCUCCCAAAGUGCUGGGAUUACAGGCAUGAGCCAUCGUACCCAGACCAGACCCUUUUCUUAAUUUGAAGAGAGAAUUUUUUUCCUGUCAUAUAGGUGUUGGAAGGAUGUCAGAUGAGAGCUGGGAUGGGGAGAGGAAGUAAGGAGGAAAGAUAAGCAGCUCCCUUCCAUUCUGACCUGCUGUGGCAAGAAUCCCGGGACUAGCAAGACCAACAGGAUGCAGCUGGCUUCACUGAACAUAAUUUGCUAUUAGCAUCUUCAGGAACACACACUGCUGGAUAAAUUCCCUUCCAGGAGAGGCCACAACUGACCACUACAUGGAAGAGACAGCUGCUUCUUCACUAGCCAAUGAGGCAUCCCCACCCAAGUGUGACCAAAUGCCUCUGAGGCUCAGCCCCUCACUCCAGAAUGCCCCCAGGUACCUGAGGAUGCUCCAGAUUUGGGGGCUGCACCGUCUGUGGUUUCUCUACAUUAAACAGUAUUUUUGUGGAGUCAGGGGAAAAUCUAUGCUGAGGAUUUAAUGGAUUACUGCUAACAUCUUCCCCACAGCCAACUAAAGGGCUGAUUCUGAGAUGGGAGCUCACGCACACCACCCCCUUUCAAGAAAAUAUAAUGCAACGCGCUCCGAUGUAAACCCUACGGGCAACGGAUGCCUUCAAAAAGCAUAAGAUAAGAGCAACAACAACAACAACAAACCACCGCCCCCCCCAAAAAAAAUGACCAAAUAGAAAUAAAAUAAAAUAAAAAUAAAAAGAAGCCAUACUACCACCUUGUGGAUCCAGCUCGCAAGAACAUCACCUGCUUAGUUCCAAAACCCCCACCCAACCCCCACCCCAAAUUUCUUAAGUUGGGUCCAAAUGACAGAUCGGGAUCCUCUGUCCUCACUCCCCGCAGACUCGCCCAAGCCCUAGGCUGAAUUCGUGACGCGCGCGCCCAGCACCCGGGCGAGUUGCAAGCCCCGGCGCACCGCAGGGGCCAAAACCCCGCC